UGGAGUUGAAGUAAACCUGUUAUAGAUAUUUUGACCAAUAAUAAAAGAGAAAUGUAGAUGGGUAAGUGGUAGUGUACAAUCGGAAUAGAAAAAAGCUCACCUUGUUCAAUUUUUCAGGGAUACUAAAAAAAAAAAAAAAAAAUCCAUCGAAGGAUAUUUGAGCUACAGUAGGACAUUCAAUGAAAUCACGAAAUUUUGACGAACAAAGUCCCAUAACUCUGGAACGACAAUUCAGAAUUCCGUCAAAAACGAAAGGGGA